rnacentral:lncRNA from 1 species
UCACUGACAUAUGGAGUCUGAAAAAAGGACAGACUGAACUUCAAAACAGAUGCUGACUCACAGACUUCGAAAAACAUGCUUUCCAAAGGAGACAGUUUGGGGGGUGGGGGAAUGCACUAGGGUUGUGGGAUGGAAAUCCUAUAAAAUUGGAUUGUGAAGAUCAUUGUACAACUAUAAAUGUAAUGAAUUCAUUCAGUAAUAAAAAUAAAUAAAAAUAAAUUUAAAAAAUAAAGUAAAUGCUCUAAGAAGAACCUGUAUCAUUGUUGUGAAGCCUGUUGUACACUCAAUAUAUGGCGGUCACCAUUAUUAAUAUUUUGUGUGAAAUAUGAGAAAUUCUCCAAGCUACUUAAUUUCUAGAUAGCUGACAGUAUAUAAAAGUAAAGACGUACUUGGCUUUUGAGGACAUAGUGUGCUGUUUGAGUAUGCCACCUAAGUGCUUGUCACAGUGAUGCGUGCUCUUAACAUGAUGAUCUCAGACACAAAUAUUAAUCCUCUUUUACCUGUGGAGUAACAGGUAAGAAUCAUUUCAAUGUGUUACACCAUUGUAAUGAGAAUUGGUCCAAGGAUUCCUUUUCUCUCUUUUUUUAUUAUUUCCUUGCUUCUUUAAAGAACACAGUUAAUCAGAUGCCUCAGCAUUAGGGAUGGUGCAAAGUUUAUUCUCCUCCUGGCAUUGACUCUCUGGCUUUACCCCCUAGUUGACUUCAUAUAUUCUUGGGUGAUGAACAGUUUUACCUCAGCAGCUUUUAAUCAUUGGAGACAUAAUAAACUCAUAACACUCUGUGCUCCUGGGGAAGUUCUCAUUUUCAAAUCAUACGACAAGUCUUUUCUAACUGAUCUUUGACGUGAAUGCCUUAGACACUCUCUUCCCGCCUCCAGGAUGGUGAGCAGACUCCUGCAGGGUUUACGGGGAUCCUCAUUCUGACCCUCCCCUCCCUGACUCACUGGCCAAGAUGACUUGUUGGCCCAAAUUGGCCUCCCUGAGAGAGGCAUGUCCUUUUGAAAGAUGUGCAGUAUUACUGUUAUUUUAUAAUUGGUAGGGGAAACUGAGGUCAAAGGAGCUUGCUGCAGAUUAAGAGCUCAGACUGGAUCUGCAGAAUUGCCACAACCAGGAAACUGGACACUUUGGUUUUCUCUUCAUGGGCUGGGGAACUAGGUGGCUCUGGAUUUCUGCUAGAAUGAUCUUGAUGAGGCGAGCCACAUCCUGGGUUCAGGUUCUCGACAUGUGCUUACCUGAUUUAAGAUCGUGGCAUUCUCUGAAGGUAAUCUGAUACCCUCCGACAUGCUGGAUUCUCUCUCUUCUUGCUGAUGUUGGUAUUGUUUGGGUUUUGUUUUGAUUGGGUGUGUGUGAUUACUGAGAAUCAUUACAAAUCAUCAGUAAUUAUAAAUGUUAGCCCUUUAGGAGGUAAUCAGAUAAAUGUGAUACCACUGUCCUGAUGUAAUUGUCCCAAGAGAUGGGUGAUCCUAUGUCUAUGAGGAAAUCAAGGGACUGUCUCUUCCCAGGCUUGUAUUUCCCUAACCCAUUUUAAUUCACAAAACCUCGAACAUAAACUUGUGUUUGGUUGUCACUCACAUCUUUUGUGCCACACUGAUCAAGAGGCAGAUGAAAAGUGGGGCAGUUACAGAGGACAGGUGCUUAGUUGACAUGAAGAUGCAGCUGUUGAAGGUGGCAUCCUUGGCUUACUGUGGGUGACCGAUGGUGAUCAUGGUCAUAGUCAUCCCAGCCCGAGGGAGGCCAGGCAGGAGCAUCACAAUACACCUGCCAGUGGGCACGCAGAGACCCCAGAGGAGCUCCCAGUUCAGAGAGAGGCUGUCACUCUCUGGCUUUGGCCUGAAGGGGAGGAGGUGAGAAAGGGGCCCUGGGGCAGGAAGGAGGGGCUGUGGAUUAGGAGGGACCUUGCAGGAGGGCCUGUCUCAUGGCAUCUGCCUGGUCUGGACUAGACCGUCAGGGUCAGGCCAACAGCAGAUACAGGGUAUGCACACUUGUUUGUGCACGUGGAAGCAGGAUGAUAGCAAGGGAGAUGUGGGGCAGAUGCUGCAUGAGCUUGUAGGGCAGAGCCAAUAGGAUGUCCUAGUGGAUGGACUAUGGGGAGAAAAGGAAGGGACUUGAAAUGGCUCCAGGUUUUGUCUAUUUCAUCUGGUUGUUUGAUUGGUCUGAGCAACUCCAGUAAGUGGAACUCAUUCACUGAAUGGGCAGAGCAGUGUCCUGUAGGCUAAAAUCAGUUGGGCUUUCCAGGAGGACAAUCUGAUUAGCUGUGUCAGAAUUACUGAUGGUUAAGUCAGGAGGCUGACUUCUCACUGCUGCCUCUGGGCAGUGAUGCAGGUGUGCUGGGCAUCAUGGUGAGAACAAUUUCAGGGAGGUGGUGGAAGAGAAAGCCUGAUAGAAAGCAGUUUAGGAAGUAAUAGGAGGAAUCUAAGAGAGAGAGAACAAGGGGCUCUUUUCAGGCAUUUUACUAUAAAGCAGGACAGACAAAAGGGGCUUAGUUGGGAGAGGAAACUAUGAUGGGCUUUGUUUUGUCUAUUUUUUAAGAUGGGAGAAAGCAUAGCAGUAUUGUAGACUAAUGUACCCAAUUUAGUUGAGCGGAAAAAAAUCAACUAGAGUUGAUUAUUGAGAGAGGAGGAGUUGAGUGUUGAGAGAGGAGGAGAGAGGGGGAGUUGCUGGAGUAAAUGCCUUAGGUCAGCAAGGAGGAGGAGUCCCGUGUGCAGGUGGAUGGGUUACCUGAGGACACCUGAGGAUGGAAGAUGAGCCUGGGGUCAUGGUCAGUGAGCUCCCUGAGGGAGGGAUAAGAGGUCAGGUGGACCUUCCUGAACCAGCUUUAGGCUUUCCUCCUGUGUCAGCGGCCCCAGCCCACCUGAAGGAUGCUGAGCACCUGAGGUGGGAGUGGGCUUAGGAGGUCCUGCCACCAUCGGCAGACACUUUCUUGCCUGGUGUUAGAGAACUUACUGUGGAAAUUUUUUUAGGUUGGGAGAAGAUGUGCCAUAGAAAGAAUAUGGGAAACAGGAAUGUGGAUGAGUGAGACAGAGUUUGUGUGUGUGUUGUGUGUGUGUGGGGGCACCAGAUGGGUAAUGGGCAGGCCUCGUAGUCCAGAAAAUGCAAGAGGCUGGAAAGUGUAUAUGAGACUCCAUUCUGGGGGUUAUCUGUUGCCUAAAAGUAAAGAAUAUAUCUGUUCCGUGGUGUCAUAUCUAGCCGCCUUCGAAAAAGGUGAACUUUUAAAAAGAUGACGUUUAAAAUAAAAAAAAUUUUAAUAAUUUUUAAAGGUACUUUCCAUUUACAGUUAUUACAGAAUAUUAUAGAAUAUUGUACGAUACACCCUCAAGCCUCUCUUUCACCCAGUGCUUACUCCCCUCCCUGGCUCCUAUACCACCCUGCCUCCCCCUCCCCACUGGUAACCACUAGUUUGUUUUCUGUAUUUGUGUCUGCUUAUAAAACGUUGCAGUUUAAAACAUAGCAGCAAUUCAGCCACUAGACACAGGUGCAACCAGUGGCUGCAGGAGAGGGCCUGCCUCUGGCUGUUCUGAGCUAGACAAAUAAGGCCUAUUCUGAGGAACGUUAGAAUUUUUGUCCCACUUCCCCAGGUAUCAAAAAGUCCACUUUCAGGAGUUCCCAUCAUGGUGAAGCAGAGGCAAGUCCAGCUAGGAACCAUGAGGUUGCGGGUUCAGUCUCUGGCCUCGCUCAGUGGGUUGGGGAUCCAGCAUUGCCGUGAACUGUGGUGUGGGUCACAGACGCAGCUCAGAUUUGGUCUUGCUGUGACUCUGGCGUAGGCUGGCAGCUACAGCUCCGAUUGGACCCCUAGCCUGGGAAC